CAAACCGACACAGGUGGGUGAGGAGAGUAUCCUAAGGCCAGCGAGAGAACUGUUGUUAAGGAACUCGGCAAAAUGACCCCGUAACUUAGGGAUAAGGGGUGCCACCAUCAGGUGGCCGCAGAGAAUAGGCCCAAGCGACUGUUUACCAAAAACAUAGGUUUCUGCUAAGUCGCAAGACGAUGUAUAGGAGCUGACGCCUGCCCGGUGCUGGAAGGUUAAGGGGAUCUGUUAGAGCAAUCGAAGCAGUGAACUUAAGCCCCAGUAAACGGCGGCCGUAACUAUAACGGUCCUAAGGUAGCGAAAUUCCUUGUCGGGUAAGUUCCGACCCGCACGAAAGGCGUAACGAUUUGGGCACUGUCUCAACAACAGACUCGGUGAAAUUGUAAUUCCGGUGAAGAUGCCGGAUACCUGCGACAGGACGGAAAGACCCCAUGGAGCUUUACUGUAGCUUGACAUUGGGUCUUGGUACUACAUGUACAGGAUAGGUGGGAGGCUUUGAAACCAGGACGCCAGUUUUGGCGGAGCCAUCCUUGGGAUACCACCCUUGUA
rnacentral:rRNA from 1 species